UUUUAUACCAGCUGACACUUUUCUAAAAUAUCCUCAGGAAAAGAGCGCGCUAAGUUCGCGGGCAUUUCACUCCAAAUUCAUCUAAGUGUUUUGCCCUAUAUUCAACUCCUCUUCCUCUUGGUCACCACUUUUUCCCUUCAUUCCAAAACCAAAAAUAUCAGAGUCCUUAGGGUUUUCCACUCUUCAUUUCUUAAAUUGGAUACAGAAGUUCGAAGAGAAUGUGAGUAUCAAAUCUUAGUGUGCUCAUGCUCUGCUAGUUGGGGUGGCAACAAUUCAGGUACCUGACAUGAAUCUCACUCAAUCUCAAGAUGCUUCGGGGAGUUGAACCAGGGAGAACGUUGAAAUGGGAGAAAAGUGAAGAUUUUUAACAAACAAUCAAGAAUAUUGAAGAGUUUGCUGCCGACAAAGAACUGGGUUUGUGUUCUUUAUUGGCCAAUAUUCCUAAUUUUUUCAAGCUUUAUAGGUGGGCAUUCAAUAUCUCUACAUAUCUGAACUACAACUAAUCGAAUUCAAAAAAAAUUAGCAUAAUUUUUAAGUAAUAUAAAUUAUCACUCUCCAGUCAAGUUUAGUUGAGUAGUGGAGUUAGAUUCCUUUCUUCUUAUCUUUCCCAUGGAUUUGAAUUGUAUUCUUUGUCUUAUUAGGAAAUUAGGAUAGUUCCUCUUCUUUUUAGUUAGUGGCGGCAAGGAGUGCCCACCACCUACUCGACAUUUUCCCUCACUGAAUUUACUACAUCUCUUUAUAUUUAAUCAACAUAUCAAUAUCAUUUUAUUUAUAAUAAAAAAUUCAAGAUAUCACUAUCUUGUGGCACUGUAAAAAAAAAAAAUAGAACAUGCAAAUUCAUCUUUGUUGGAUGAUAAAAUUGAUUAGGAAAGGUUCUUAUGCUAAUAUAAUAUAGGUUAUAGGUCUUUUCGUGAACUUUUUAAUGCUUUUGUGUUUUAGUUUUUGUUAAUUGGUGAUAUUAUGUCUUCUGGUAAUGUAUGGCUGGUUGUUUUGAUAUAAGUUAUAACUAUAAAUUGAGAUCAGUAGCUUUUUUCUUCUAGAAAGGAAUAUAUAUAUAUGCUUAUUGGCAAUAGUAAUAUACUAUUUUAAUUUAAUUAGGAUGAUUCUAUUAUAAAAAACCUAUAGAUCUAGAAGAAAUUGAUUACCAAUUUUAAUCAUACUUUUCUGGUAUUAGUUCAGUAAUUGCAGCCAAGUAUUAUUAUUAUUAUUUUUUGUAUGAAAAGGAAGUAUGAUUUACAAAUUUCUAUACAUUUCUAUUUAUAUAUUGCAUUGCAAGAUUAAUUCUUAUCUUGGUAAUGUGUGUAACCAUUGGUGAAGAGAAUGAAGUGGCCUAUAUUGCAGGGAAGGUUUUUUUAGUUUGAAAUGGAUAAAACUUGGAUGUCAAAAGAUCGAAUGUCAAAAGAAUAUGAAGAUGGUGUUGAGCAAUUUAUUGUGUUUGCUAUAAGUCAUGCUAGUAACCCCAAACUCAUUAAAUGUCCAUGCCAAGUAUGUGGAAAUUUGAUGUUUGAGACUCCUAAAGGGAUAAGAGAUCAUAUGUUUAUAAGAGGUGUUGAUCAAAGUUAUAAGAUAUGGAGUUGGCAUGGGGAGGUGGCUGAUAUUGGAGGAACAACAAGUAGGGAAGUAAAUUUUGAUCAGUCACCUAAAUACGAGGAGGUCCAAGAAACUUUACAAAUGGUUAAUGCUGCUUAUGAUCCUUGUACUGCCAACCAUGAUUCUUUUACAUGUCUUACUUCAAUGCUUGAACUUACAGUGAGUUGUAUCAUUUUAUACAUGAGGUAAGCCAAUGCUACAUGACAUUUUUUUGAGGUAUAUUGUAUUGCACUGCUUUGACGUAUUUCACUUUGUUUAGACAAUUAUAUGAUCAUAUGAAGGCUGAAGGUCUACUUCAGAUGUUUGGCUUUAUCAAUCCUGCUAUUGUAUCAUUGGCUGGAAAUUUAAAUAAUCAACGAAAACGGGAUGAGAGAUCACGAAAUAUAGCAGAUCGUUUGGUGAAGGCAAAAAAAAAUCAACUCAUAAUCAUGCCUUAUAAUCCUGCGUUCCACUGGAUCUUAAUUGUCAUUGACUUCUCAUCCAUGACUGUUUAUUAUUUGGACCCAUUAAGGAAUGAUAUUUAUGAGGAUGUCAGAGUAGUUGUAGACAAGUAAGCCAUUUCCUAUUAUAUUAAAAUUUUAACAUACUUUUCAUUAUGAUACAAUCAACUAAACUAAUGAUAUUAUGCUGGUCUAUAAUUUGUCUAGUGGGGUUCGAAUCUUAUAUAUAUAUUUCAGUCUUUGCUCUGUUAAAUCAAUUUAUUGUAUUUUAUUACAAUGAGUAUGCUAACUUGGUAUAUGCUGUGUGAGAUCUUAUUGGCUAUUUCACUCAAUUAAUAUUAGCUCUCACUUGGUAGAUGAUGUGUGAUGGGAAUUCCAAUUUUGGCUUUUUGAGAAGAUGAUAUAUAGGAUCACAAAUGUGAUUUCCAGUAAGCUCUCUGUUUUUUGGAAAGAAAGUGAAAGCCAUUGAUUGUUUGUAUGGCUGCUGUGGUCUUAGAAUCUUCAUGAAAUAUGUUUUGUUUGGCAGGUCUUGUUUGGCAGUUUUGUUGUAAGGCUGCUGGUCAUCUGUUUUGAAGGUCCUAUCGAAGUAAGAACUCUCUGGAUGUAAAAUGGGGAAUAUUGUACUAGAACACAAGAGGUUUCUACUGGAAAAACUCAUUUUAUUUAUGAAUUUUAGUGUGUAUAUUUGGCAAUGCAUGGCUUGUAUAGUUUGUUGAAACUAAGUGAACAAAUGCACUAGUAUGAUGUAUUUUCAGUUGAUUAGUUUCAAUACAUGCAAAUUAUUUUUAGAAGUAUU